UACGAAGGGUGCAAGCGUUACUCGGAAUUACUGGGCGUAAAGCGUGCGUAGGUGGUUGUUUAAGUCUGCUGUGAAAGCCCUGGGCUCAACCUGGGAAUUGCAGUGGAUACUGGGCGACUAGAGUGUGGUAGAGAAUAGUGGAAUUUCCGGUGUAGCAGUGAAAUGCGUAGAGAUCGGAAGGAACAUCUGUGGCGAAGGCGACUAUCUGGGCCAACACUGACACUGAGGCACGAAAGCGUGGGGAGCAAACAGG
rnacentral:rRNA from 1 species